GACGAACGCUGGCGGCGUGCCUAAUACAUGCAAGUCGAACGGUCUUUUCUAUGGAAGCUUGCUUCCACUGAGAAGAUGGUGGCGAACGGGUGAGUAACACGUGGGUAACCUGCCCAUAAGAGGGGGAUAACAUCCGGAAACGGGUGCUAAUACCGCAUAGUUUUCUUGAUCGCAUGAUCGAGAAAGGAAAGACGGCCUUUGUGCUGUCGCUUAGGGAUGGACCCGCGGCGUAUUAGUUAGUUGGUGAGGUAACGGCUCACCAAGACGAUGAUACGUAGCCGACCUGAGAGGGUGAUCGGCCACAUUGGGACUGAGACACGGCCCAAACUCCUACGGGAGGCAGCAGUGGGGAAUCUUCCGCAAUGGACGAAAGUCUGACGGAGCAACGCCGCGUGAGUGAAGAAGGUUUUCGGAUCGUAAAACUCUGUUGUCAGAGAAGAACAAGUCGGAGAGUAACUGCUCCGGCCUUGACGGUAUCUGACCAGAAAGCCACGGCUAACUACGUGCCAGCAGCCGCCGUAACAC
rnacentral:rRNA from 1 species